AGAAAUAAUUAAAAUUGAACUUCUAAUUCAAUAUCUAAUGAUGUAUCAUUUUAUUUCUU
rnacentral:tRNA from 1 species